AGAGUUAAACAGUACGUGAAAUUGUUGAAAGGGAAACGAUUGAAGUCAGUCAUGCUAGUGAGGAAUCAACUUGGUAGUUUACUUCCUUGUGUACUUUCUCGCUUGGCAGGUUAGCAUCAAUUUUGGUUGUCAUCAAAGAAUUGGGGAAAUGUGGCUUCUCUUCGGGGGAGUGUUUAUAGACCCUGGUAGAUGUGGCGACUGAGAUUGAGGAUUGCAGCGAAUGCCUUUGGCUAGUCACCUAUCUUCUGACGGUCACCUCGCUUUUGACAGCUUGCUGAUGAUUGUGGGAUUUGGCAGUUUAGAAGUUAGAAUGAACAUAAAUUCGCUAAGGAUGCUGACGUAAUGGCUUUAAACGA
rnacentral:misc_RNA from 1 species